rnacentral:rRNA from 1 species
AAUAGAUACCCUGGUAGUCCACGCCGUAAACGAUGGAUACUAGCUGUUGGAGGUAUCGACCCCUUCAGUAGCGAAGCUAACGCGUUAAGUAUCCCGCCUGUGGAGUACGGUCGCAAGACUAAAACAUAAAGGAAUUGACGGGGACCCGCACAAGCGGUGGAUCGUGUUCUUUAAUUCGAUGAUAAACGAAGAACCUUACCAGGGCUUGACAUCCCAAGAAGGCUUCCGAAAGGAAACUGUGCCGUAAGGAACUUGGUGACAGAUGAUGCAUGGCCGUCGUCAGCUCGUGUCGUGAGAUGUUUGGUUAAGUCCAUUAACGAGCGCAACCCUUGUGAAUAGUUGUAUUUUUCUAUUCAGACUGCCCCGGUAACGGGGAGGAAGGAGGGAUGAGGUCAGGUCUGUAUUUCUCUUACGUCCUGGGCUAGAAACACGAUACAAUGGCUAGUACAAUGCGCAGCGAAGCCGCGAGGUGGAGCAAAUCGCAUCAAAGCUAGUCCCAGUUCGGAUAAGAGGCUGAAACUCGCCUCUUUGAAGUCGGAAUCG